CCUACGGGUGGCAGCAGUGGGGAAUAUUGGACAAUGGGCGAAAGCCUGAUCCAGCCAUGCCGCGUGUGUGAAGAAGGCCUUCGGGUUGUAAAGCACUUUCAGUGGGGAAGAAAGCCUUGGGGCUAAUACCCUCGAGGAAGGACAUCACCCACAGAAGAAGCACCGGCUAACUCCGUGCCAGCAGCCGCGGUAAUACGGAGGGUGCGAGCGUUAAUCGGAAUUACUGGGCGUAAAGCGCGCGUAGGCGGUCUGAUAAGCCGGUUGUGAAAGCCCCGGGCUCAACCUGGGAACGGCAUCCGGAACUGUCAGGCUAGAGUGCAGGAGAGGAGAGUAGAAUUCCCGGUGUAGCGGUGAAAUGCGGAGAGAUCGGGAGGAAUACCAGUGGCGAAGGCGGCCUUCUGGACUGACACUGACGCUGAGGUGCGAAAGCGUGGGUAGCAAACAGGAUUAGAUACCCUAGUAGUC
rnacentral:rRNA from 1 species